UACGGGGGGAGCAAGCGUUGUUCGGAUUUACUGGGCGUAAAGGGCGCGUAGGCGGCCACCGCAAGUCGACUGUGAAAUCUCCGGGCUUAACCCGGAAAGGUCAGCCGAUACUGCGGGGCUAGAGUGCAGAAGGGGCAACUGGAAUUCUCGGUGUAGCGGUGAAAUGCGUAGAGAUCAUGAGGAAGACCAGUGGCGAAGGCGGGUCUCUGGACAGUUCCUGACACUGAGACACGAAGGCCAGGGGAGCAAACGGG
rnacentral:rRNA from 1 species